rnacentral:rRNA from 1 species
CCUACGGGGGGCUGCAGUGAGGAAUAUUGGUCAAUGGACGCAAGUCUGAACCAGCCAUGCCGCGUGCAGGAAGACGGCUCUAUGAGUUGUAAACUGCUUUUGUACGAGGGUAAACGCAGAUACGCGUAUCUGUCUGAAAGUAUCGUACGAAUAAGGAUCGGCUAACUCCGGGCCAGCAGCCGCGGUAAUACGGAGGAUUCAAGCGUUUUCCGGAUUUUUUGGGGUUAAAGGGUGCGUAGGCGGUCGGAUAAGUUAAGGGGGAAAUCCCGGGGCUCAAAUUCGGAAUUGCCUCUGAUACUGGUCGGCUAGAGAGUAGGAGAGGUAGGCGGAAUGUAUGGUGUAGCGGUGAAAUGCUUAGAGAUCAUACAGAACACCGAUUGCGAAGGCAGCUUACC